rnacentral:rRNA from 1 species
GGCGGCGUGCCUAACACAUGCAAGUCGAGCGAGAAGUUGGAAGUGAAGAUUCGAUUGGAACGGAAAAUGGAAAGCGGCAGACGGGUGAGUAACGCGUGAAUAAUCAACCCUGCACAAAGGGAUAGCCUCGGGAAACCGGGAUUAAUACCAUAUGAAGUAUAUUAAUCGAAUGAUAGAUAUAUUAAAGUUUUUAACGGUGCAGGACGAGUUCGCGUCCCAUUAGCUAGUUGGUAAGAUAACAGCUUACCAAGGCGACGAUGGGUAGCCGGCCUGAGAGGGUGAACGGCCACACUGGAACUGAGACACGGUCCAGACUCCUACGGGAGGCAGCAGUGGGGAAUAUUGCACAAUGGAGGAAACUCUGAUGCAGCGACGCCGCGUGAGCGAAGAAGGCCUUCGGGUCGUAAAGCUCUGUCCUAAGAGAAGAAGAAGUGACGGUAUCUUAGGAGGAAGCCCCGGCUAACUACGUGCCAGCAGCCGCGGUAAUACGUAGGGGGCUAGCGUUGUCCGGAAUUACUGGGCGUAAAGGGUCCGCAGGCGGUCCUGUGUGUCAGAUGUGAAAUGCCACGGCUUAACCGUGGAACUGCAUUUGAAACUACAGGGCUAGAGUACAGGAGAGGAACGGGGAAUUCAUGGUGUAGCGGUGAAAUGCGUAGAUAUCAUGAAGAACACCGGUGGCGAAAGCGCCUUUCUGGACUGAUACUGACGCUCAUGGACGAAAGCCGGGGGAGCGAAGAGGAUUAGAUACCCUCGUAGUCCCGGCCAUAAACGGUGCGCACUUGAUGUUGGAGGAUUACCCCCUUCAGUGUCGGAGCUAACGUGUUAAGUGCGCCGCCUGGGAAGUACGGCCGCAAGGUUAAAACUCAAAGGAAUUGACGGGGGCCCGCACAAGCGGUGGAGCAUGUGGCUUAAUUCGAUGCAACGCGAAGAACCUUACCAGGGCUUGACAUCUAGCUGCAUAUGACCCGAAAGGGACAUAGCCUUCGAGGGUGCUAGACAGGUGCUGCAUGGCUGUCGUCAGCUCGUGCCGUGAGGUGUUGGGUUAAGUCCCGCAACGAGCGCAACCCCUAUGUUUAGUUGCCAGCACAUAAUGGUGGGAACUCUAGACAGACUGCCUGUGAAAGCAGGAGGAAGGUGGGGAUGACGUCAAGUCAGCAUGGUCCUUAUGUCCUGGGCUGCACACGUGCUACAAUGGCUGGUACAGAAGGAAGCAAUACCGCGAGGUGGAGCCAAUCCCCAAAACCAGCCCCAGUUCGGAUUGAAGUCUGAAAUUCGACUUCAUGAAGUUGGAAUCGCUAGUAAAGGCGUAUCAGCUACGACGCAUCGAUACGUUCCCGGGCAUUGACACACCGCCCGUCACAUCAUGGAAGUCCGCUGUACCCGAAGUCGCUGAUCCAACC